GGGUCGGCCCGGCGGCGGGUGCGCCGCGGCGCGAGCGGCCGCGUCACAACUCGGGGUCCUCCUCCGGAGAUGAGCUGGAGAAAUUUAAACGCCUGUACGUCACGCCCAGACGGAAAGCCCGCGCACUAUCCUCAACGAGCGAAAACGAAGACGACUUCAUCAACGACGACUCCACGAGCGAGGACGAGCUCAUAUACCACCGCGCGGUGGCCGGUGCCGCCCGCGCGCGCAACCCGCGGCCGGACCCGCUGAUCUGUGCCAGCGACGAGUCGCCC